rnacentral:rRNA from 1 species
AGCAGUAGCCACGGUAAUACGAAGGGUGCAAGCGUUACUCGGAAUUACUGGGCGUAAAGCGUGCGUAGGUGGUGGUUUAAGUCCGUUGUGAAAGCCCUGGGCUCAACCUGGGAAUUGCAGUGGAUACUGGGUCACUAGAGUGUGGUAGAGGAUAGUGGAAUUUCCGGUGUAGCAGUGAAAUGCGUAGAGAUCGGGAGGAACAUCAGUGGCGAAGGCGGCCAUCUGGGACAACACUGACGCUGAGGCACGAAAGCGUGGGGAGCAAACAGGAUUAGAUACCCCAGUAGUCCCUGUCUCUUAUAC